CCUACGGGUGGCUGCAGUCGAGAAUCAUUCACAAUGGGGGAAACCCUGAUGGUGCGACGCCGCGUGGGGGAAUGAAGGUCUUCGGAUUGUAAACCCCUGUCAUGUGGGAGCAAAUUAAAAAGAUAGUACCACAAGAGGAAGAGACGGCUAACUCUGUGCCAGCAGCCGCGGUAAUACAGAGGUCUCAAGCGUUGUUCGGAAUCACUGGGCGUAAGGCGUGCGUAGGCUGUUUCGUAAGUCGGGUGUGAAAGGCGCGGGCUCAACCCGCGGACGGCACAAGAUACUGCGAGACUAGAGUAAUGGAGGGGGAACCGGAAUUCUCGGUGUAGCAGUGAAAUGCGUAGAUAUCGAGAGGAACACUCGUGGCGAAGGCGGGUUCCUGGACAUUAACUGACGCUGAGGCACGAAGGCCAGGGGAGCGAAAGGGAUUAGAUACCCUAGUAGUC
rnacentral:rRNA from 1 species